ACACAACACCAUCCAUUUCCUCCUCAAUCUAACUCAAAAAUAUUUUUUUUUGGUUUAAUUUUGAGAGAAAGAUAGCAUUCUAUCCACUUUGUUUAUUUUUUUAAAAAAUAAAUUUAGCUAAAAAUAUGAAUCAAUUAGGAUUCAAAUUUGGAACCUCGGGUAUCACCCACCUAGUCCUUUACCACUUGCAUUAAGGACAGUCGCUUUAACUCAAAAAUACUUUUCACCACUAUAUUAUUAUGUAUAUAAUUAUUUUCUUAUUUAUAAAUUAUUUUUUAUGAUGAAGUUUUUAAAUCAAUGAUUCAUAUUUCUAAAUAUAAUUUAAAGUAUUUAGAUAUUGUGAAAAUUGUAUUUUAUAAAUUUUUAAAUAUAGUCUCAAAAUGGAUGCUUUUGAUGACUGUAUGAAGCGUUUCAAAGCUAACGAUGUGAAAGAAUCAGAAUAGCUUAAAUUUUUAAUAAAAAAUUCUAUUCAUUUCUUACCAUCAAUUUUAUACCCACCUGAUCAACUUUAUUAUAAAUUAAAAAAUUAUAAAAUUCGAUUUCUAAAUACUUCAAAUGUUAUAAAUUAUAUCCAAUGUUUUAGAUCGUCAAUUUGAAAUAUCCAUCAUCAAAAAUGAUUUACGAAUAUAAAAGUCUCUUUACUCAUAAGAAUAUAUAUAGUAAUCCUACUCUCCCUCUCUCUCUCUUUCUCGUGUGUACUUGUGUCUGUCUCUCUCUACAUAUAUAAAGGGGAAGAUAGCAAGCUGUCUAUUUUAUUCAUUUUUAAAAAUGAACUGAGUUAGAAAAAACAAAGUAGUUAGACUUAAAACUUAAGACUUUGUGUAUCAACCAUCAAGUUCUUAACUAGUUGAGUUGGAAGCAUGAUUUUCUCUGAUACCAAUUGCUGGAAUCGAUAUUUGUAUUGAUACCGAUUAUAUAAGGCAAAAUCUAAAAUAGAACAAAAUAAUAUAAAUAAAAUAAUAUUUUAAUUAAGUUUGUAUUAUUAUUUUCAACAAAUUGCGUUAAAUACGGCUAGAAAAAAAAAACACUGAAAGGGUUUAUAUAUAUAUAUAUAUAUAUAGAGUCCGGCUACUAUGCUAUCGGUAGCACGGAGCGCUCCGUGCUACCAAGUUGUUUUCGAUGAUGCAGCUUCCAAAUCGACGAUCGGCUCCAUUAGACUUGAUCUACACUAUUGAAAGUAUUUGGAAACUAAAUUUCAGAUUUUUUCGACAACAUUUGACUAGUGAUCAAAAGAUCUCAAAAUUGACAAUUUUAAUGGCCGAUGUGGUGUGUUUGUGAGUUUAACGGUGUAAAACAAUCCAAAUGCGAUAAAAAUUUAUAGAAAAUUUUUUUCACUAUUUAGAGUAAGAUCGGUAUAUCUGAUCUUGAAUUUAAAUCUUUUAUCAUCAUUUUUAUAAGAUUUUUAUUUUCAGCCGUUCAAUUUUAGACUACUUGUUUGAUAGGUAAAUGAUAUCGAAAAAUUAUGAAAUUUAGUUUCUAAAUACUUUCAAUAGUGUAGAUCAAGUCUAACGGAGCCGAUCGUCGAUUUGGAAG
rnacentral:lncRNA from 1 species